rnacentral:rRNA from 1 species
UACGGGGGGAGCAAGCGUUGUUCGGAUUUACUGGGCGUAAAGGGCGCGUAGGCGGUCAGCACAAGUCAGUUGUGAAAUCUCCGGGCUUAACUCGGAAAGGUCAACUGAUACUGUGCGACUAGAGUGCGGAAGGGGCAACUGGAAUUCUCGGUGUAGCGGUGAAAUGCGUAGAUAUCGAGAGGAACACCCGUGGCGAAAGCGGCUCUCUGGAACGGUACUGACGCUGAGACGCGAAAGCGUGGGGAGCGAACAGG